UCUCCGUUGGUGAACAGCGGAGGGAUCAUUACCGAGUUUACAACUCCCAAACCCCUGUGAACAUACCUAUCGUUGCCUCGGCGGUGCCCGCUCCGGCGGCCCGCCAGAGGACCCCCAAACUCUUGUUUUAUACAGUAUCUUCUGAGUAACACGAUUAAAUAAAUCAAAACUUUCAACAACGGAUCUCUUGGUUCUG
rnacentral:misc_RNA from 1 species